rnacentral:lncRNA from 1 species
CUGAUAGUUUGGCUCUAAUGAAGCACAAGCCUGUUUUAUAAGUUCAAGCCAUGAAAAAUGCAACAGAUAUAUUAGGUUGGACAUCAUGAGUCGCACAUUUAAACAAAAAAAAAAAGUACAGAUAAUAGUACAAUUAUAUUAGAGGACCAAAAUUUUAGAGAAACAAAGAUACCACCUUGCGAAUUGCAUCAAGUUCAUACAGAAGAACUUGAUAGAACUGCCCCUCACUAACACCAUCCCUGCAGUUUGCUCAUCAUUAGGACACGACAAUUACAAGUACCAUACAAGCUCACUAUAACACUGAGUAAUUAAUAGAUACCUAUAGAAUAUAAUGCGCUGGGGUUUCUGUCCAGUUGAUCUGCGGAAUGAAAUAAGGAGUUCCCUAUAGCACAGAAACAAAACUGAUACUGUAAAGAGCUUGAUUUAAAAAUUACCAUAAACAGUACACAUAGGUCUAUUAUCAUUUAUUAUUCAGUCAGAUAAGAGGUUGGGAGAGGAACAUACUUGAUCAUGCCGCCUGAUACAGUUCCUCUGUUUGGAUCCUGCCAGCUCUUGUACAGAUCCUGAAUAAGCUCUUGUCUGUGGGCUUGAGCACAAACCAAUCCAGCAUACUUUGUUAUCUCUGGCCAAUCUUGUGAAGCAACCACCUGAAUUUUAUAUAACAAAUCUCAUAUCAACUUUAAGCAACAAUAGAUUAUAAGACAUUAAAAAUAAACACAUAAUCCUGUCAAAUACAGGCAAAUCAUAUUAACACGUGCAAACAUUAACUAAAGUACGUAUAAGCAGUUCUACAAAAUUUUAUAUCAUACUGCUGCAAUCGAGGGGCUGGAAUCUUCUCCAGGAUGAGGAUGGGUGACGUCAGCACCAAAAAUGAUUGUAGGGCGGUCACUGACAAGUGGAAUACGCCUCGAUAAAGCAUCAACAAGAACUGUAUUUCUUCCCCCGACUUUGACGUUAAUCUUUAAAGCCACAUUCGCUAGGUAUUGCUUGCUCAUCUUGAAGACAUGUUUUGUCAAGCAACACUGUGAAACUAUUCCAAGGUCGGUCUCACAAAUUCUCUUUAAAUCGCCUUCAUGAAUAGUCAAAAACAGCGAUCAGUGAGACAGAUACCAUUACACAGAAGUGUGAAUGCAAGCAAAACCACGGAUAGACAAUCACACACACAGUCAAUAUAAGCACUGGACCUUUACAAUCAUCAUAAUAAGAAUAUUGAAAAAAGUUUACGUACCAUAUAGUGAGCCAUUAUUAUCUGGAAGAAUGACAAUCAAUAGGUCAAGCUCCUUCUUCAGUUUCUGUACCUCUUGAAAACGUGAUUUUAACACUCUCUCCACCUGAUCAGUGUGUGCGCCGGUAACUGGAAGCACCGGAUUGGGAUUGAACCGCUACACAGGAAAAUAUAGUUCAGUUUUAGUUCAUAUACUUGCCAAUAUGUCGAUAACAUCAACACAAACAGAGGUCUUCCGAUAUAUACCAUUCCCGAUAUUGUGCACAUCUGUGCGAGUUCUGAACAAAACCCGCUAGCCAAAUUAUCUUGAACAUUUCGUGCAAAGUUCACACACAUCCAAUUAUUAACAAUUCCUCCAUCAACCAUUUUCUGAAGCAAACAUUAAUAAAUUAGAACAAAACGGUACACGGUGUGCAACUUUUAAUCAGUGUUUGUUGUACUGUUCCAUACAGGAACAAAUGCAAUGCCCUGACUUCAAAGGAACAGAUUCAAGCAAUAUUGUCAAUUACAUUUUUAUUCUUCAAUAAAAAAGGAUAAAAAUCACGAUCACAGAAUGCCAAUGUAAUUGCAGUCUGCGUCGCCUACACUACCAUAUCAGAAAUACAAAACUUGCCUUGUUCAUCAUAUUCCACUGGCCAACUUGGGGUAGACAUCGUGUCUCACGUCCAGUCUCAUGGUAUUUUAGCUGGCACAAUAAUGACUCAUUCACUAAACCAACCAAAACAAUUCGUCUUUCGGUAUAUGACUACAAAAAACUAAAUGAAGAUAUAUAUUAAGUGAAUACCCAUGGUGGAGAGAGAAUUCUGGCUUCUACAGAGGCUAGUUUGUCACUAAUUUUGAUACCAAACUCCUUCGCAUAGGGAUCAUCAGCGUAUGCAUUGUGCUGAACAGUCUGAAUAACAGGCACAGUAGAGAGAGUACAACAUGAGUGCUGACUUGUAUUAUUAAGUUUUUAAAAACAAAAGACCUGACUGAACCACAUACAUUAGUAGACCAAGUUAAAAUCAAGUCACAUGCAUAUACAAAAGAUAGAACAUUACAAGUCAACUCAGAAGCACAAAUCAAAUGAACAUCUAGCAAGCGACAAAGUACAAGACAGCUCCCAAACACCAAAACAAUACAUUACUGCAAAAUACAGAAGAACUUCUGCAUUAACUAACCCGUAGAAUGUCGGCCUCCCUGUCACUAGGACGUUGACAAGUAACUUUAAGCAAUGCAGUGAUUUGCCUCUCGUUUAAUCUUUUUGAGUACCUCUGCCCCUCCACAAUUUUGCAAACCUGGACCAAUAAUUACAUGAGUACACCUGUAGCUUGAAAAAAUUAGAAGUAGAGAGCUAAAAGCACAAACCUCCAUGGGCAGAUAAUUUGGCCUUCGCUGGUUACCGACUUCCAGGCAAGGUAAUUGAGUUUGCUUGAGGAUAACAUCAUAAGUCUCGCGGAAAUACUCAACCACAGCUUUCAUUGUACCUCUUUCAUCAACUGGAAACCUAAAAUGUAGGAAAAACAGUACCAUGUCAUCCAAGGCAAACAUAACACCAGUGACUAUUACCAAAGUUGGAGAAAAUGCAAGUAACUCAUACGUGAGCCCCCUGGUCGCCUGUGAUGUUAAACCAGAAAUACAAUACUUCCUGCGCAUUGUUCCACGGUGCAAAACCUCAACCUUCACUCCCUUCAAGGCCUUUCUGAUCUGGCAUGCAAAGGGAAGAAUUAAAAUUGAUACCAUCAGCACAAUGUGAACAGAAGAAAGCUGAACAUUAUACAGAGCAAACCACAAAAUAAAAUAAGACGCACUAACAGGAGAUACUUAAAGAGGAAUAUAUUUAGGCCUAAGGGGGAAACAUAAUUCAUAAAAAGACACAGAGGACAAGAUAUACUUGUUUAUACUGUAUAUCCAAUCCAAGCUGCAGUACAACACAAGAUAAUGCAUAAUUUACAUCACACCAUAUUCAGGAACAAUAUCCUUUUUGCUCAUAAAAUGGAAGCAUUAUUAUGCAUGAAUAUAUUAAACUUCAAAACACCAAUAGACACCACAACUCCCGAACUUUUGCUAUACAGCACCCAUACAUUGUGAAAUACUAAUGAUAAUACAUAAAAACACCAAUGACAACCUAUGUUAGGAUCUACCAGUAAUAGACUGUAUAUGUAAAUUUUGACUAAUAGUAAUCUAAAUAAUAAAGUGUUAUCUAGCAAGUAGUAGGCAGAAUAAUGAAAUUAGACCUUCACACGAUCAGCAUCUGACAGUGGCCUGGACGAAACGUCCCUAUUCAACAGCUGUGAGGCAAACUCGAUAACAGGAAGAGGCUCAAUAAAUGCAGUCGAGGACAUAUCUGUAGCAUGAAAGUCAUCUUUCAUUGUCAAUACAAAAGGACAUUAUGGAAAAAGAAUUCGCUGAUGAUCAUGUGAUUGAUGAUAACAUUAAAAAAACAGAACUAAAAUAAACGAAACAAAACACAUACCAAUAUUAAGAGACAAUCCCAUCUGCGUAGGGCGUAUACUUUGAUAAAAGCCUCUCCAGCUUUCCAAGCCUUCACCCAGUGGCUGCCUUUGUCGAAUAUCAGCUGAAUAAAAUGAGCGCCCCACAGGGGAAUACCUAUCACAUAAAAGCCGAAUAAUUAUUACAAAUUGCUGUACAUUGUAUCUAUACACAUACAUCAAUAAUUCUACAUAAAAACACAUGAGUAUUGAUGUGAAUAUUCAUAUAGCCUUUACCUGGCAGUAGGCAAUUCCCUCAGAACAAUGUCCAACACCUGCAAAGCUUCUUGGGGCGCGUCAGCCUGACUGCCCUUUAAAAACAUUUCCAGGUGGUGCAGGUCAGCUCGAGAAGCUAAUUUGAUUACAACUUGGAAGUCCCUUUCUCUUCUGCAUAUAAGACAGCCAGUAUUCAAUUGUUAAAUCAACACUUACUUGAAGAUUUACGAACCUAUGAUUAAUGCAAGGAGGCAAUCCAGAAUAUACCUGGCACCACCUGACCCGUCAUCUUCGUCGGUCAGAACUAUUUUGAACUCCUUGUUGACAAAAGGAAGAGGCCCUGCUGUAUACAAACUCUUUCUACCAUCAUACGCAGGGAGACGCUUCCCAAGAUGAGAUUCUCUAUACAGUUUGACAAGCUGUUCCAUCACAGCACGAUUGACACCACGUGAACCGACUUCAGGGGAGAUUGUUACCUAAAUAUGAAGACCGGAUCUAUUGGAUGAGAAGAUUGCACUACAGCAACGAUAUAUAAAAUUAUUUUUACACACACACACACAAAGCAAAUAAUGCAAAUGAACGUCAGUUCUUGGUGAAGAGUUCAUAUUCCGGACUGGAGGAAUUUAAGAAAAAUUUCUAGGUAACAAACGAUGCAAGCACCUACUUCAGAGGUUUCAUUUAAUAUUAAAGACAAUAAGAGUAAGACAUAUAAUAAGUAUAUAACAAAACAAGAGUACAUUCAAUCACACUCACAUCAUACUGAUGCAAAUCCUUAUCAGGCAACUCUGCAAAGAAAUGGUUGGCCUUUACAACGAUACGAGAACCAGUGCUACCCCUGCCUGGACGGAGUGGAAAUCUAAGAGCCUUGCUAGAAACAGGAUUAGGCUGAGUAUCCCCGAUAGAUGAGGAUUCAGACUUCAAAGAAAUAUGCUGAAGCUGCUGCGUCACUUGCGAAGAUGAUGCUUCAACUGCACUAACAGAAGAGCUACCUUCUGACUGUGUCACUUCAGCCGGUAUAAUGCGGGGCAUGGGAUGAGUCGAUACCCCUGCUUGAGGUGGAGCCUGGGAAGCUUGGUGCAGCUCGGGGACUGAUGGCCUAGCACCAGCAGAAGGUACAAAUCCUCCACGACCACCACCAGCUACGCCACCGCCACGGUGUUGGGGCAAUGGUCCACGUGGUUGCUGCUGUUGGGCACCCCUGCCUUGCUGCUGAUAAAGAGAUUCACCAGUAUACUGCUGAGAAGCCAUACCACCCCGCGGGCCACCGCGUCCACCUUCAUAUCCUCCACGUCCUUGGUAUCCUCCUCCCUGUUGUGGGGCAAAGCCUCUACCACCUGGACCCUGCUGCUGUGGGGCAAAGCCUCUACCUCCAAGAACCUGCUGCUGUUGGGGAAAGCCUCUACCUCCUGGUCCUUGCUGCUGUUGUGGAUAGACUUGAGGUGCACCUCGUCCUUGCUGCUGUGGAGGGUGUUGAGGUGCACCCUGUCCAGCAUUAGAAUCCUGAGGCUCCGAGCUCUCUCCCCCACCAGCCUGGUCAGUUCUCCUCUUUCUUACCAUGAUGGUCACUACAUCCAGUGAAUACAAAGAGCAACAUUGAUUAUUUGAACUUACAAACGUUAUGUUAUGUAACAAUACUCAAAGACCCAACUGCUAUUGACAGGCAACGACAAGCAAAACCUGAGAAACCAACCACAUAGAAUUUGGCAGAAUGUACAUUUAAGACAGUAAUCUAAAUAAAUCCUUAACAUCAUAAUUUCAAACUUAUAAAAACAGAAAGAACAGCCAUAUACGGGGGUACGGACAGUUAUUAAGACCCUCCUUAAAAUAUUAGUACACAAAAAACAACGGCAACAGAUACAUUUGUACAAUAAUAGAUAGAUAUAUGGGCAUUAAAACAAUAAACCAUGUAAGCCAUCAAAGUAAGGAAUUGGUUGUGCAUAUGCAAGUAAAUAACCUAACCUAAAUACUUCCCUUCAACUUUAUAAAAAAAAUAUAGAAAAAUGGUCAAAUCGCAUUGAAGAUGUAAAAAGAACAACAAAAUUAAAAUUUCAUAAUAUGAUUAAACAAACACCUCAAAUCAAUACAGAUCUAAGCAAAUAAACUGUAAAAAACAUACAAAUCAACUAGAUCUAACUAAAAGAAAUACAAUCGGUAAAAAUUAACGAGAUACAACCGAAAAACAAUGUAUAGUCUAUUUAAAAAAGGGGGCACAGGAGACCAGUAAUGGACAUCUCAUAAAAUGAUUACACCAAUACCUCAAAUCAAUACAGAUCUAAGCUAAUACGCUGUGAUAAACCUAAAAAUCAACUAGAUCAUCCAACUACGCAUAUACAAUUGGUAAAAAUUAAUGAGAGUAACCAAAAACAAUGUAAAAGCUAGUUAAAAAAGGGAGGAUGGGAUACCAGUAAAUGCACGUCAACCACUCUUUGAUGGAAAAAUACUAUAUCUACCAACCGCACUACAGAGCCGCACACCCGCUACCUACAAUCCUAUAUCUAUAUUAUACUAUUAAAGCCGGAACAAUUAAAGUUUUGAUUGGUUGGUUGGUCGGUCAGUAUUUGGGCCGGUUAUGGGCCUCUUUAUUUUAUAAAAUGUUUUAAUGAGUUUUUUUUAUUAUAACUAAAACACAUUUAAACAUUCGCUUAAAACAUAUCUCUCGGGCCUGUUUAUUUUUAAGUCUUUUAACGGGCCUAAGUAUCAAAAUUUAUUUAACAUGACCAAUAAAAAUACAUUAACCCAAAGAGGCCUAUUAAAAUUUAAUAAUCUUUUAGUUAAAAUAUGUAUAUUAUUACAACAUAAAUGUCUCUUCGAAAUAAAACAAAAUAUUAUAACAUACCCGUGCAUCGUACGGGCUAUAAGCUAAUAUAUAUGUGAAGUGUAUUACCAAACAACAGGUCUACUACUUUGUUUUAUUUAUCAGAUUAGAGGGUCGGAAAUGAACAUACUUGAUUAUGCCACCUCUCAUAGUCCCUCUUUUUGGAUCCUCCCAGCUCUUGUAAAGAUCCUGGAUAAGCUCUUGUCCAUGUGCUUGGGUACAAACCAAACCAGCAUACUUUGUUAGAUCUGGCCAAUCCUGGGAGGCAACAACCUGGAUUUCAUACAACAGAACUUGUAUCAAGAUUAUGAAACAAUAAUAGAUAAUAACAUUUUAAUAUUUAAAUAGAGGCGACAACACAUAUUGUCACGUGAAAACAUUGAACGAAGUGUGUAUAAGUAGCUCUUAAAAACUUCAUAUCAUACUGCUGCAAUUGAGUAGAUAGAACCUUCUCCAGGAUGAGGAUGGAUGACAUCAGCACCAAAGAUAAUCGUAGGACGUUCGCGAAAAAGAGAAUGUGGAUGUAGACCCUGCACCUGAGGGUGUGGAGGAUGCUGAAGAACAUUUUGUCUGGCACCAGAAUCCUGGUGCUCUGAGUUCUCUCCCUCACCCGGAAGUUCAGUUAACCUCCUUUCUGCCCUGAUGAUAACUGUGUCCAGUGAAUACAUAUGGCAAAAUUAAAUUAUAGGGAUUACAAAAUGAUAAUGACAACAGUAAGACAAAGCACUAUUAGAUACAGCCAUACAGGUGAUAGCCGGCAAUAAUAUGAGAAAACACACGUAACUUGACAGAGCUUCCAAUAAAGUCAGCAAGCUAAUUAAAUACACAAAAACUAAAUAUUCUCCCUGCACGAGUAAUCAACUCUCAUUCAUAUGUAAGACAAGCAUAAGGAGCUUGCAACUCUAAUACGUAAACUGAACACCCAAACACACACAAGUUGUAUACACAAAAAGAUAGUUUUAAUAAUCAAACAUGUAUACAAUCCCUUGCACCAAUUUUAACACUAGAAUGUUUAAAACUUAACAGCUUCAAGAAUUAAAACAAUAAAUAGCAAUAAAUCAAGAUCAAAAUCAGAAAAUAUGUUUUACAUGCACUAACUUGACUAUCAAAAAUCCCUAACAUCAUAAUUUCAAACUUAUAUAUACAGAAAGAACAGCCAUAUAUGGAGUAUGGACAUUUAUUAAGACCCUCCUUAAAAUAUUAGUACACAAAAAACAAUGGCAAAAGAUACAUAUGUACAAUAAUAGAUAGAUAUAUGAGUAUUAAUGUGAGCCAUCAAAGUAAAGAAUUGGUUGUGCAAGUAGAUAUCCUAAACUUAAUACUUCCCUUCAACUUUAUAAAAAAAAAUAUGAAAAAAAUGGCCAAAUCGCAUUGAAGAGUAAAAAGAACAACAAAUUUAAAUUUUUAUAUAAUAAUUAAACGAAAACCUCAAAUCAAUACAGCUCUGAGCAAAUACACUAUAAAAAACAUACAAAUCAACUAGAUCUAGCUAAAAGAAAUACAAUCGGUAAAAAUUAACAAGAUACAACCGAAAACAAUGUAAAAUUUAUUUUAAAAAGGGAGCAUAACAGACCAGUAAUGUAAAUCUCAUAAAAUGAUUAAACUAAUACCUCAAAUCAAUACAGAUCUAAGCAAAUAAGCUGUGAUAAACCAAAAAAUCAACUAGCUCAUCCAACUAGACAUAUACAAUGGGUAAAAAUUAAUGAGAGUAACCGAAAACAACGUAAAAGCUGGUUAAAAAUUGGAGGAUGGGAAACCAGUAAAUGCACGUCGACCACUCGUUGAUGGAAAAAUACUAUAUCUACCAACCGCACUACAGAGCCGUACACCCGCCUAGUUAUUUUAUAACAUGUUUUAAUGUGUUUUUUAAUCAUAACUAAAACACAUUUAAACAUUCGUCUUAAAACAUAUCUCUCGGGCCUAUUUAUUUUUAAGUCUUUGAACGGGCCUAAUUAUCAAAAAUUAUUUAACAUGCCCAAUAAAAAUUCAUUAACCCGAAGAGGCCUAUUAUAAUUUAAUAAUCUUUUAGUUAAAAUAUGUAUAUUAUUCCAUAUAAAUGUAUCUUCAAAACAAAAUAAAAUAUUAUAACAUAUAUAACAAAAGAGAAAAUAAUUCAAGUCACCCGUGCAUCGUACGGGCUAUAAGCUAAUAUCUACGUGAAGUUGUAUUAUAUGUAGUACUAAUUAAAUUGUAGAGCCUCUAGAAUUAUCAACCACCAAAAUGGCUUGUUUGGGAACCUGGAUUUCAUUUGAUAUUUUGGAUUUGAUCAAAUAACCUGUUUGAGAAUUUGAAUUUGGAUUUCAUUUCACAUUCAAAUAUUAGUAUAAAUUUGAGAAAUUGAAAUUACAACUCAAAUCAUGUCAUUUGAAAUCCAUCGUUUCAAAUGAAAUGCAUGUUUCCAAACGGCCCCUAAGAUUAAUUAGAAAUGAGUGGCUUAGAUAUUAAAUAACUGAACGGCAAACUAGUAUAUAUUACUACAGUGGGACUGCUUGUGAUUAAAGUGAUGUUACAUGACAAAGUAGUUGGUUAAGUCUUGAUUUCGAGUAUAGCUUUGUGUAUUGCAAUUAAGCUUAUCAGAAUAGGUUGUCAGAAUAUGAUGAUGAUGGAUACUAGGCAGUAGAACGUAGUGUAUUUGUUUUGAGUAUAAUGAUAUUUGUGGGACUAGUUGUAGUAGAGAAUGUAAAGGACAAUGUCCCUAUGAAUGUAGCAAUACAGAAUCUUUGUAUACAACUCUAAGCACAUGGUACAGCACUAAAUUAGUCACAUGGCUAUGCUCAAAACUGGUACUUCAUUUUACAUAUGAAAUCAGUUGAUAUGGCAACUUAAAGCAUGCAACAGUUUUCAAAUAUUAGUGUACUACACACUAGAACAUAGAUUUAUCUAAAACAUUAGUGCCCAAUGGAAGGAUAGCCUACUAAAAGACUAGAAUUUGAACUGUCUAUAUUAAAAGAAACCACAGAGUUUGAAACAUGUCAUGAGCUUAUUAACACCAAAAACACAAAUCCACAGACGAAAGCGCUCAGGACUUCUGCAAAAUCUUAGCCACUAUAUAUUUGAUAUUAAAAAAGUGGUAUGGUACCAUACCUUCCCACGCAUCCCCUCCACGUCCACCUUAAACACAAAAGAACAAAGCCUAUUUGCUACUUUGUCCAUCACCAAAUUCACUGCAAAUAUAGAUAAUAGCAAGCUUAAUAGCAAAGGCACUUAGAAUGUAUCCAAUCACAAACAUGGCCAUUGUAAAUAUUCCGAUUCAGACCUUUUAUGGGUUUCCCAAAAUUUAUAGAAGCAAUUUCUCCCACCAUCAUGAGAAGUCCGAAAUGGAAGUACUGUGAGGAAAUAAAAAAAAAACAUCAACACAUUCUUCAUUUGAGUUAAUUGGCAUUGCUUCAACUAUAAAAAGCGCUAGUAUGGGUGUAACUAUUCCAUUUUCUACCAAUAUAGGAAUAAUUUUUCUUUUUACCUCCUACUCAUUCUUUCACAAAAUUGAUCAUAAAAAUGGGGCACUCUAUCAUUGUUUUCACACUCUUCUAUUUCCAUCCACAGAAUUUUCCCCUUUCCAUUUUAUUCCUUCCAAUAAUAAAACGCAUUAUAGUUAUCAUCUAUAUACUAUUUAUGAUCACAAAUUCAAAGUAGAACUUGAUCCUAAGGAUAAAACAAAUAAUAUUCAUUUUUACAUUGCAGUGGUAUCUCUUAUGAACUCGGUACUAUCUGACUGAAAGUUUGCACACUAUCUCAUUUUUCACUCGUAUCAAUUUUCUUCGAUUUCAUUCACUUCCAAUUAAUUCAAAUUCACAUAUAGUCCAUAAUAUUCAGGCAUACAAAAUAGAAAACGUUCAAAUAUUGGCUGCACUGUGAAAAUAAUUCCAUAUUAUGAUAUUAUCCUGCGAAAUCAAACAUACAACACACGCACAUUUAUAGAGAGAGGGGGGGGGAGGGAGGAAAAGAGAGAGGGGAGGAGAGGGAGAGNNNNNNNNNNNNNNNNNNNNNNNNNNNNNNNNNNNNNNNNNNNNNNNNGAGAGAGAGAGAGAGAGAGAGAGAGAGAGAGGGAGGGAGGGAGGGGGAGAGUACAAACUAAUCUCGAAAGUCGAAAUGGAUGAUAAUUUGCAUCGAAAUCGAGUUGUUGAAAUAACGUUGCUACCGCCAUUUUUCCUGAUCGAGCUUGUUGUAGACUUGUAAUGUUGUGCACUUGUGCGGGUAAUAUCCAGUCGAGUCAGGGUUUGGCUUUUGAUAAAAUGCCCAGAUAUUUCCAUCUUCGAAUAUUUUCGUAAUGUAUUUAAAAGAUUAAAAUCUCGAGUAUACUCAGGUAUAUAUAUAAAUCAAUCAGAACAUUUGGCUUGAAAUUUUUAUUUUCAUAUUCAGGUCUUGUUAUCGUAUGACGGUAUGAGUAAAAAUAUCCAGAUUUAUUCAUUUUUUAAAUAAUUUUAAAAUCAACAUUUUUUUUAAUAUAUGAAUAUUUUAAAUUUGGAUCAGCUACACUUAUAUAUAAAAGAUCCAGAUUUGAAUUCUAAUUCUGGCAGCUAUUAAAAUGUACAAAGUUCAGUUAAAAUUAUCUAGGUGCACUCCAGACACCAAACGCAAUAUAUAUAUCCCAUGCUAACUAUAUAAUCAUUUGCAUGUUUUUUUUUUUUUUUUUUGAACCCAUAAUCAUUUGCAUGUUAAUAAUUAAUUGGUAAUUGUAUUUCAUUUUAUCUUAGCCUUUUUGUCAAUCUAAUCUUCCACUUUCCACAUUUACUAAAAACACUCAUGUACAAGCUCCUUGCACCAGAAAACUAAACAAAUAUCUUAAAUUAAACAAACUAGUAGAAAAAGAUAUAUUCUAAUCAACUCUUCACCGAACUCAUAUUUGUUUAAUAAUUCGAAUUCGAGCGGCAAUAACUCUCUUCUAAGUAAUGCAGAUCAAAGGAGUUAAGAGAUUCAAAAACAUCAAAAGUAAAGUUCAAAGCAACAGCAUAAAGAGCUACUAUCACACGUUUUCCGGUUCUCAAACAUUUCUAGCAAUAAAACAUAACCCUCUUCACAUUUUCUUUAAGAGCGGGCAAGGGCCUCACAGCUGCAUUAGCAUUUGCUGCCCUGGUGCUUCUUCCAACCCCCAUUCCUCCACGACCACCAGCAGCACCACUUGCCAUUGACUCACUAUCAGAUGUUUCAGGUUCCAUAUAGAAGCGAGCUCGAAAUGCUGCCAAGUGAGCAUAAUAUGCUGGAGGAACUGUAAAAAAAAACAUGACUCGUUAAAGCAAGUCGAGUAAAAUGACAACAAUCAGAUAAAAAUUCUGAAAUAGAACCAGUAAACAUCGCUACUCACCUAUUGAGACAGAUCUUGUGCACCUGGCAUAACUGCAAGACACACAAUGAAGCCAGUAAAAUGCAGUAACUUUACAUAUUAAUUUUAAUAUGUUAUUCAUGAGCAAACAAUAAUAAAGGUGAACUUACGUGUAACAUAGAUUGUUAGUGAGGGACUGUAGUCCAUCUGCCGAGAACUUGUUCUCAUCCCAAAGAACAUGGUAAUGUGCUGGUCGGCUAGUUCCCUGUGGCAUAAAGGAAUAAUUAGAUCAGACAAUUGCCCUUGAGUCCCACUCAUUUUGUCCAUAAACCACUUAAAAAUCAACAUGAAUCGUUUACUUGGAUGCCAGCAUGGCUGCAAAGGUAAAAGUCAAACUCCGUUGGGUGACAGAUUUUGGAAUCCACAACAGUCCCUGUUAUUUCACAAGCAGAGAAACACUCUUAAUACUGAUACAGUGUGUAUAACAAUAUAGAUCAAGAUGAAAGGAAAAACAAAGGAAUACCGGGCAAAAUAUUUCCACUCCUAUCAACUGAAUUACGGUCGCGAUGAUUGUUGGCAAACAACCUAGUGUGAUGGCGUUUCUGAACCACAACAAAUGUAACCGGAGGCUGAUAGUUUGGCUCUAAUGAAGCACAAGCCUGUUUUAUAAGUUCAAGCCAUGAAAAAUGCAACAGAUGUAUUAGGUUGGACAUCAUGAGUCGCACAUUUAAACAAAAAAAAAAAGAAGUACAGAUAAUAGUACAAUUAAAUUAGAGGGCCAAAAUUUUAGAGAAACAAAAAUAACACCUUGCGAAUUGCAUCAAGUUCAUAC